rnacentral:rRNA from 1 species
UGCACGAAUGGCAUAAUGAUGGGGGCGCUGUCUCCAGCAGAGACUCAGUGAAAUCGAAUUCGCCGUGAAGAUGCGGUGUACCCGCGGCUAGACGGAAAGACCCCGUGAACCUUUACUGCAGCUUGACAUUGAACUUUGAUCUUACUUGUGUAGGAUAGGUGGGAGGCUUUGAAGUCGCGACGCUAGUUGCGAUGGAGCCGUCCUUGAAAUACCACCCUGGUAAUAUUGAGGUUCUAACUCUGUCCCGUUAUCCGGGACGAGGACCAUGUCUGGUGGGUAGUUUGACUGGGGCGGUCUCCUCCUAAAGAGUAACGGAGGAGUACGAAGGUGCGCUCAGCGUGGUCGGAAAUCACGCGUAGAGUAUAAAGGCAAAAGCGCGCUUAACUGCGAGACCCACAAGUCGAGCAGGUACGAAAGUAGGUCUUAGUGAUCCGGUGGUUCUGUAUGGAAGGGCCAUCGCUCAACGGAUAAAAGGUACUCUGGGGAUAACAGGCUGAUACCGCCCAAGAGUUCAUAUCGACGGCGGUGUUUGGCACCUCGAUGUCGGCUCAUCUCAUCCUGGGGCUGAAGCAGGUCCCAAGGGUAUGGCUGUUCGCCAUUUAAAGAGGUACGCGAGCUGGGUUUAGAACGUCGUGAGACAGUUCGGUCCCUAUCUACCGUGGGCGUUGGAAAUUUGAGAGGAUCUGCUCCUAGUACGAGAGGACCAGAGUGGACGAACCUCUGGUGUACCGGUUGUCACGCCAGUGGCAUCGCCGGGUAGCUAUGUUCGGAAGGGAUAACCGCUGAAAGCAUCUAAGCGGGAAGCCUACCUCAAGAUAAGAUUUCCCCGAGACUUUAUGUCUCCUAAAGAGCCGUUGAAGACUACGACGUUGAUAGGUUGGAUGUGGAAGCAUAGUGAUAUGUGAAGCUGACCAAUACUAAUUGCUCGUGAGGCUUGACUAUACAACACCCAAGCAGUUG